rnacentral:lncRNA from 1 species
CUAAAUUCGUGUUUGUUUUCUUGAAGGUUUUUGCCAACAAAGACAAACAGGGAGAUGAAGAUGAAACACAGAGGCAUAAAAGAGUCGCUUAGGGAAAUGAUAAAGAGAAGGGAGAAGGCAAUUAAAGCAGGGGAAGAGAGCAAUGAGGACUUGUUGGACAUACUUGUGGAAUCCAAUAUCAGAGAAAUGGAAGCAAAGAAUAUGGGGAUGAGCAUUGAGGAUGUGAUUGAGGAAUGCAAGCUGUUUUACUUUGCUGGCCAGGAGACCACUUCGGUCUUACUGGUGUGGACUAUGGUUUUAUUAGCAAGGUAUCCCGAUUGGCAAAGUAAAGCAAGAGAGGAGGUUUUGCAUGUUUUGGGUGACAGUAAACCUGAUGCUGAUGGCCUUAAUCGUCUCAAAGUUGUAAGUCCCUAGCAUGUCUUUUGAAGGUCCGAUCAAUGAGGUCGACAACUCAAAAACUUUGUUUCUUUUUACGCUAAUUCUACAGGUAACAAUGAUAUUGUACGAGGUUCUAAGGCUGUACCCACCGGUGGUUGAGCUAGGACGUUCCGUUCCAAAAGAAAUAAAACUGGGGAAUUUGUUGUUACCAGUAGGAACAGAAGUUUCGGUUCCGAUCCUGCAGAUCCACCAUGACAAAGAUCUUUGGGGUGACGACGCACGGGAAUUUAAGCCAGAGCGGUUCGCGGAAGGGGUUUCCAAAGCAACAAAGAGUCAAGUCACGUUUCUGCCAUUCGGAUGGGGUCCUAGGAUCUGUAUUGGCCAAAAUUUUGCUUUGAUGGAAGCCAAAAUGGCGAUGGCUAUGAUUCUCCAACGCUUCUGGUUCGAGCUUUCCCCUUCCUAUGCUCACUCUCCUUACAGCAGGGCAACUCUUCGUCCACAGCAUGGUGCACAGAUAAUUUUACAUAAACUUGGCUGUAAUUGAAUUGUUAUGUAAACAAAUCUUUGUGAAAACAUAGCGUUUUAGUGUAUCGUCAAAGUCCGGUAUCUGUAAUGGUACAAAUUCGAUGAAUGAAUAGUAAAUUUUGAGAUGUUUGGUGAAGUCCGAAAUAAUAUGCAGAAAUUGAGCGUCUGUGGUGGACAUAGUUGAGGGACUAAUGUGGUAAUUAUCAAUCAAAUAAUUCGGUACAAAGACUUAUAUGGAAAUUAAAGCAGGGGGAGUUGAAAAUGACUACUCUGCUUUGGGCAUCAAUUUAGAAAGAUUUAAAGUUCAAAUGUGUUAUUAGUUAAGGGAUUUGUUUUAAAGAGGGAAUGACAAUUAAACCUCAUGGUUGAUUUGUGCAAGGAACCGAUGAUGGGAUGAUUAUUCUUAGUGGUAAAAAAAACCAUUAUGGAGGUUAUUACACUUGUUAUCAUCGGCUUAAAAUUCGAUUGGGUUCAGGUCGGAUUAUAUCGAGCUUGUAAGAUAGUUCACCGACCAAGUUUGCAUAAUAAAAUACCUAAAUGAAAAAAAUUUCUAUUUUAGAGGAACCAGAGCCCCUACCAACUCCCGGUUCAACCACUAAACAAUAGCCAUAUCAUAUAAAUAAAUACCACCAUCUAAAAGACUAAAAAAAAACACUUAACAAAGGAUAAAUAGAUAGAUGUUGGAUAAGUGUCCAAAAUAUGAUCUAAGUGAAGAUACGUGGGGUAGGUGUUACGGAAAUGUGAAGACAAGAAUCCCACUAACGUAUGGGAUGUGUACAGUUGAAUGUAGGAAGCUAGUAAAAAAAUUUUUUUGGGUCAUAUAAUUUGUUUAGCAUAUAUUUUUAUAAUUUUUAAAUAUCAUUUUGGAGUUGAAUUAUAAUUUUUUUAUAUAUUAUCUUAAAAUUUUAAGGAGUUAAAACAAAAUUAUUUUAUUUUCAGAUGGUCAAAGUAGAGGUGAUAAUGGGUUGGGCUAUUCGGCCCGGCCUGACGAUUCACCCGAAAAAUAGGAGGGUUUAGGUAAAAAUAUAGGCUCGAAAUAUGGAUUUGAGCAAAAAAAGAGGCCCGUUUAGAAAAUGGGCUAGGCCUCGAGUAAAAUUUUUUGGGCCCAGGCCUGACCUGAAUUAUAUAUUAAAUAUAUAUAUUUUAUUUUUAAUCAAAUAUACUUUUGUUUUAUUAUUAAUUUGGUUAUUAUUUUAGUUCUAAUUUGUUUCAAUUUUAAUAUAACCAGUUUUUAUUAUAUUUUCAAUUUGUGUAUUGUUUUAAGAAUUGUUUUAGUCUCAUUAUUUAUUUAUUUUUUGUUUUAAUAUUUGUUUUAAAAAUUUUUAUUUAAUGAAAUAAGCUAAAAAAAUUAAUAUGGGCUGGGCCAGGCCAGGCUCGGGCCUAGUAAUUUUCUUUUGGGCCGGACUUAGAUAAAUUUUUAAGUCCAUAUUUUGAAUUGGGUCCUAACCUAAAAAAUAGACCUAAAAUUUUAUAUGGGCCCAGCUUGAACCCGACUUGGCCCAUGAUUACCUUUAAGUCAGAGCUAUCCUCGUUUUGCAUUUCUUUGAGAUUCAGCCUUAUCUACUAUUGAUUGCCCUCUCAAUUGAGGUUUGAGUAGAAAGAUUUGGUGAAGCAAGCUAAGCUAUCAAUCAAGGUUUGCAUAAUUAUUUAAAUGUAAUUCUAAUAUUAAAAUAAUUUUUUUUAUUAAUAUAGUAUCAACAAGCAUUAAAUGUAAUGAUCAUAUACUAUUACAUUUUCAAGAAGAGAAAACAUGUUUGAACUUUAAAAACGACGUUACUAAAAACAUUAUCACAAAUCUUGAAAUAUAAAAAAUAUUUUUUUAAAUAUAAUAAAAAAUUAAUUUUAAACCUGAGCUGAAUAAAAUUCUAAUUUUAGUUAAUGAUACCAACAACAAAUCAAUAUUCUAAGCCCGAGCCCGGCUCAUUUUUUUAAUAAACACCAAAAAUUUAUUUUGAAAAUAAAAAAAGUAUUUUAAAAAAAUUUUAAAAUUAAAAGAAUAAAAAUAUAUAUUUAUUAUAUAUUCAGGCCGGGCCGGGCCGGCCCCGGGCCAAAAAAGUGGUGCUCGAGACCCGACCCAUUGUCUAAAUGGGCCUCAUUUUUGCCCAAACCCAUAUUUCGGGCUUAUAUUUUUACCCGAACCUCUCAUAUUUUGGACGGAUCGUCGGGCCGGACCAGGCCGCCCGACCAUGAACACCUCUAGGGCAAAGUCACUCAAUGAAUGCAUGGAAAGAAAGAAUGCAACUUGGUGACAGCUUUUGUUGGAGUUAUAUGCUUUUUUUUACAUAGUGGAACUUUCUGUGGAUUUUCAAGUUUCAUGAACUUUAUACCCUAUGCUUUACGUGAAAAAAAUCAUUGGACUUAAAAGUCUACCAAAAGUUUCACUAUAAUAAAUAAAUAAAUAAAUAAAUAACAUUGCUACAAGACUACAACAUAAAGUUACAAUAAGAGCUUAUAACUCAACAAAGGCUAUCAAUAAAUAAUCUCAAGCAAGCUAAAGAGAAAUGUUGAGAGUACCACUCAAAUAGUGAUUGACUUUAAAAAUUAAAAACCCGAAGUUAUAAUAUCCCAAACGAAAUCAAACCAUAAACAUUAAAUUUUUCGAGUCUACUAGAUACUGUAAAAAAUUCAGCUCCAACGGACACCAAAUGAACCUAUGAUUGAAGAAAAUACGAAAACUAGUCUGGCUAAAUCAAUCUGCCAAACUUACUUUUUAUCUUAUCUUUAAUUUGCUGUGAAAUUCAAAACUACGUGUAAUACCCAAUUUAUGCCCGGCCCAUUUUGUUAAACCAAAUAAAAAAGAAAAGAAAAACAAAAUAUUUAAAUUUAGCCCAAAUGUCCAUUUACACAGCCCAAUUACAAUUGCAAAUAAAAAAAAACUAAAACUAAACCCGAUCCUAAGCAUCAGCCCAAAUUCGACCCAUGCCCAAAACGAAUUCAGAUGCAGAAACCCUAGCCCAGCCUCAACGCAAGAAAAAGUCGGAAGCCCUAAUGGUUGGUGCGCCGCUCCUGUAACAGCCCGAUUUUGGGUCUAGUCGGAACAGUGGUUUUGGGACCACAAAUCCGACGAGAAAAAAAUGUAAUGGCCUGAAUUUUCAGAGGUGUCGGAAUGGUGAUUCGAGAUCACUAAAUUCGAAAAAUGGGUAGAAAAUAUUAUUAAUUUAGUGAGUAUAAGUUAAAUGUGAAGUUAGGAAAAUUUUUGAAAUAGUGAAUAGUACACUAGAAAUAAAUAUUAAAAUAAUUAGAAUCGAAAAUGAGGUAUCGAGACCUCGGGGAUUUUAAACCUAGCCAUAAAUAUUUAUGUAGUGUUAAAAAGUUAGUAUUAAAGUUUCGUUAAGAAAUUUUAAAGUUCCGAUAAUUAAUUGAACAAAAAGGACUAAAUUGUAACAAAUACAAAAUUAUGAGAAAUGAUUAAAUAGCUUAAAUGAUAAAAGGAAGAGGGCUUAAAAGGCAAAUAGACCCAAGGGCUAUUUGGGCUGGACGGCAAAGGCAUGAAAUCAGCAACAAAGUAAGGAGAAUUAAGGGCAAAAUUGGAAUAUUGCAAAAUUUACUUAAUAAAGUUAGGACCAAAGUGGAAUUAUCUAGAUUUCUCUUUAUUUUUCUGCAUUCUCAUUAGCAAAAACACCAUAGAAGGGUUUCCUUAAGCCGGUUCUUCCUAUUUUUACUGCAGAUAAGUUCAAUUCUUGAUUAUUUCUUGAAAAUUUUGUGUUUUUGUGACUUUUACAACUAGGCCCACUUAUUGUAUUCAUUAGUUUUUGAUUCUAUGAAAGAAUUUGAAAGUUGCUAUGAAUACAUGCUGGAAGUAUAUGAUGAUUUAGCAUGGAAUUAGAGCUUUAAAUUGUUCAUAUGCUGAUUUUAUUGAAAGAAUUGAAUAGAAAGUGAAUGUUUGGGACCUAAUAGUAAAAGAGUUUGAAGAUAGAGUUAUAUGUGGAAAUUCUGAGUUUCAAUAGUUGUGAAACAACUUAUAAUGUCUAGGUAAAUUAUUAAUUGAGAAAAUUAAAUUAAUUGAGGGGUUAAUUGAGAAAGGACCGAAUUGUAUAAACUGUGAAAUUUGGGGCAAAAAGGAAAUCAACAUUUUGCACUAAAGCAGUUUUGGACAGCAGCAGUAGUAUAAAUUUGAAAAAUCACCAAAAAUUUUGGGAAUUGAAUUAGAGGGUGAAUAAAAUAUGAAAUUAAAGCUUAUUGAGUCUAGUUUCUUAUAAAGGAAACGGUGUAAGCAAUGGAAUUGUAAAUCAUGAGAUAUAAUAAAUUUUGCGAGACAAUGUCAGAAUGAUUUCGGGUUCCCCUAUUCUGACUUUGGAAAAUCAUUAAAAAUUGAAAAAAAAUUAUGAGUUAUAAUUUAUAUGAUUAGAAUCCUUAAUGAGUCUAUUUUCAAAAUAAAUAAAUGGAAACGUCAUAAAAAUUCUGUACAAUUAGAUAAUUCAUUUUUAGUGAAGAGUGGUCGGAACUGUCAGACAGCAAAACAGGGGAAACUUUAAAGAAUAAAAUGUACUAUUUGGCUGAACCAAAAAUUCUGAAAAUUGUAUGGUAAGAAGGUAUGUGAGUCUAGUUUCAGGGAAAAUUAAGGGAUCUUAAUUUAGAGCUCUGUAGCUCCAGAUAAAAAUAAUUUAGUGACUCUAACUCGGAUAAACAGCUUUGAAUAUACAUGUGAGUGAAUAGUGAAAUUAUAGCUAGUGUUGUUUAAGUGUGUUAUACACAAUAAGGAUGUGGAAUGGAGAGGAGGAGGAGGAGGAAAAAUUGGGAAAUAUAUGAAUGAUUUGUGUAUAAUUGGUCAUAUGCUUAAUUAUAAUUGAUAAACGAUGAAAUAGAAAUGAUGCAUAUAUUUGUGCAGUAUUGGUCAUGGUUUAAGCUCAUGUGGCAAAAUAAAGUUUAUAGUACGGGUGUAUUGUAUUUUUGGUAUAUGAUUUGGCAUUAAGUAAUGUCGUGAAUGGGUAUUGAAUUAACACAUGUUGGAAAGUUUGAUUCAGCACGCGUCGAGCCUCCGCGCCAAAACCACGUGAGCCUUCGUACACUCCAACUGGCCUCCGUACCUGCAACAAACAAAAGUAGACAAAACAACAGCAAAUGAUAGGAAGAAAAGGUAGUAAAUAGUGAAGAUUUUUCUGUAAUUUUCUUUGGAUUUCAUUCUGUAUUUUCGGCUAUAAAAGAGCCAUUAGGAAUAUUUGUAAAGGAGUUUUUUUUUUACCCUCACACACAAAGAGAAUAUACACGCAUACAAGAUCAAUAUAGAGAAAAAAAUAAAAAAAAAUACAAAGAAUAGAAAAUCAAGUUUCGAAGGUGAUUCUUUGAAAAAUCCUUUUCGUUUUUCUCCUUUUUCCUUUUUCCUGGAUCUUUUGUUCAUUUCAAGUAAAAAAAGUAUAAAAAGGAAACAAGUUUAGAGGAAGGAGGUUUACCUGGACGCCGGACCUCGCUCGCCUCGUCGAAAUCGAAGGCUGAGAGGGGAUAAAUCGGUUUUGCGACGGAAGGAAAGGGGGCUAGGGUUCUUCUUUUAAUUUUAAAAAAAAAAUAGAAAAUGUUGCUAAUUAGGUUUUAAUGGGGGGAUUUAUGUGUGUUAAAAAAACGACGUCGUUUAGCGACCUUUGACCCGCGCGGUGACCCGACCCGAGGAAAGGAUCCGCGCGUUUUGGGUCUGAUGGGUUUAUUGCGCAACAAGCCCUUCCGCAUUUGUUUUUCGUUUCAAUCCGGUUUUUAUUUGUUUUUUAAUUGCUCUCUCAUAUUUAGUUCCAAUUUCAAUUGGGUCCAUGAUUAAACGACAUCGUUUUCAUUGAUUGGGUUUGAAGGCCUAGUUUUGUGCGUCUAAAUUGCAGCAAUGGUCCCCCUGAUGUGCAAUGGUUCUCGAUUUAGUCGUCUCCACACUUAUUUCAAAGUCGUCCCUGAGAUUUUGUUUUAUUUUUGAAAUUUUCCUUGUCUUCUUUUAAUUUAUAAUGCUAUUAUUAUUAUUAUUAUUAUUGUUGUUGUUGUUGUUGUUAUUAUUACUAUUAAUAUAGGUAUUGUUAUCGUGUUAGUUUAUAUCUAUUUAUUUACUUUUAUUUUAUUAUGUAUUAUUAUAUAAUGCUUUUAUCAUGUAUCAUUUUAUAUAUUUUCUAUGUUAAUCUAAUAUGAUAUAUAUAUAUAUAUAUGUAUUUUUGUGAUCUUAUUUUAUAAUACUUUUUUAACCCAUUUAUAUGCCUUUAUGUUUUAAAGAUUUAUAAUAUUUUGAGCAAAACUAUUAUAUAUAUAGAUAUACAAUUUAUAUUAGACCAUUUUUAUCGUACAUAUACGUAUAUAUAAUUUAUAUUUUGAAACCCUAUUUUAUUAUAUUUUAUGCCUCUAUAUACAUCAUUAUAUGUUUAUUAUUCUUUAUAUUAAACCUGUCAUUUCACUUAUAUAUUUUUAAAACCAAUAUGUAUUAUUCUUUCUUCCUUGUUAUUUUUUAUCUCUUAAAAUAGAUUGAUAAUUCAUUUAAUUUUUGAAUGUUGUAUGACCGAGAUUAUCGUUGCCAUUCUUGUUCAAAUUUAUCCAUUGCUUGUUCAUAUUAUUUGAUAAUUUAUCGCUCACUAGCAUGUACCGUAAUUUACGAAUUAUCAAUUUGAAUUAUGUACUACCAUUCAAUCGCAUUACAUUUGUUUGGAAAACAUCGAAAUCGUUUUGCACAUAAACCUUCAAAAUGCUCGGUAUCCAAAAUUCUCGAGAGGAUUGUGUCCUAACUUACUAGGCUUCAAUUCUCCUUCUUGAUUUUAAAUAACCGAAUACCCCUUUUUCAAUUUGAACAUAGAAAUUCCAAAAUAAAAAAAAACUCAUUCUCGGGAAUUUGAUGCGUUGUGUCCUAACGUAUUGGAUAUGACAUAUUUUUCUCGAGACGAGGAUUUUUCUAACAAAUAAAAAUAAAGACAAUAUUUGAUAUUUAGGAAUUUUGUGAAAUCGAAGCCUAACUUACUGGGUUUUGAUUUUUUCAUUUGACCCAAGUCGGAUAUCCUUCUCAAAUGCAUAGAUUUUAAAAAAUCAAAAGAUAAACUUAAUUUCGAGGAUUUAAAAUGUUACACUCUAACUUACUAAGUGUGUCAAUUUAUUUCUUUGAAAUAAGUGAGUUUCAUCAUCCAAUUUAUUUUAUUCAAAUAUUCUUUUCCAAGGAUCGUAUUUUAAAAUCUUUUCAAAAUUUCGACAUUAAGACAUUAAACAAUCAAUUCGGUACCAAUUUUGGGCGUCACGAGGGUGCUAACCCUUCCUCGUGCGUAAUCGACUCUCGAACUUGUUUUCUCAAAAUUCGCAGACCUAAAAUUAUUUUCAAGGUGAUCCGAUUACACCACAAUAAAAUAUCGGUGGUGACUCCCAUUCCUAUUUUAAAAGUCGAUUCCCGUUUUUCAAAUAUAAAAAAAUGGUUUCGACACUACGGUUUUGUUUGUUUCACUUAGAACAACUUUCAAAAAGUUAAUUUUGAAAAAUGGAUUGAAUUUUCAAAAUAGAUGAUAUUUUAUUGUGUUAAAAUUUUAUUCGUUGUUUGAAAAAAAAAUUUAAAUCAUUUUCUUAGAAUUAUUUUUAGUGAAACAAAUAUAUCAUAAAUAUAUUUGUUAUAAAAUAUUAUAUUAAUAAUUUUUUUGACAAUUAAAAUAUAUUUUGUGAUAAGGUAAUAUUUUAUAAUAAUUAAUAUCAUAUAUACUUAAUAAUAAAUCAUGUCUAAUUAAAAUUUAAUUUCAAUUAAAUAUAUUAAUAAAGCUACAUUUAAUCAUAUUUUAUAUAAUUAAAAUAUUAAUAUAAAUAUUUUUCAAUAAUAUAUUAAAGAAUAUUUAAAAUUUAAAUUUAUUAUUACUAAGAUUAAUUAUUAAAAUAAAAAUGUACUAUUAAAUAAUUUAUCCAAUGAUAAGUUAUAUUGAUAAUUUAUUAUAUUAUUAAAUAUAAAUAAUUCAAUAUGUAUGUUUAAUAAUAUUAUGUUAUAAUAUUUAUUACUAAUAUUUUAAUAUUUUUAAACAACCAUAUUUUAAAGAUGGUGGUGAUGGUGAUGGUGCAGGCCCCCUUGUUACAAUUACAAUAUUUUUAAGUGGGAUGCAUGUAAUAUAUUGUUAGGGUUUUAGAGUGUGUCGUCUUUAAAAGGGUUAAAUUAUAUAUUUAUAUAAUAUGAUUAUUGUUUAUAAACAUAAUAUUGUAGAUAAGUUUAUAUGUAUGUCAAUAUGUAUCCUACUCUAGGGUUAAUAUGUAUUUUUUAGAUGUGGGUUCACCUAUAUAAUAGUAUGAAUCCAUCAUGCGGUCUCAUGAAAUAUACAAACACAUAUCGUGCUAACACAAAGUACGAACAAUAAAAAGUACAAAUCAAGACCCAAUUGAAUAAUUAAAUAACGGAUAGGUAAUAAUGAAUAUCAUAACAUUCACUAUCCCCUCUUUUCCAGUGAGUUAUUGUUUAUGAUAAAUUUGCAACAAAUGUUUUUAUCAUUAUUUUGUUGGUAAAUGAUAAUAAGCUUAAACUUUACUUUCUUAAGCUCCUUCAAUUCUUUGGACGUUAGCGAGUAAACUUGAGCUUCAGCAUUCCACAAACACCUUAAUUUGAAGACACAGUUCUCUCAUACUAAAAACGACAUGGACGUUUACCUUGUAAUUAGAGAUUUGGGCUCAUUGUUGGGUUAUUAAUGAUACAGGGAUGGAGAGCUUUAAACUGGGUAUGGCUGGCCCCAAAGAGGCUCGAAAGGUGCUUGAGACUAGAGGUGAUCAAGGGCCGGGUUAGGCCCGGUCUAGAAAAAAAUUUAGGCCCAUUUUUUAGGCCUGAAUUCGGCUCGGCUCAAAAUAUGAGCUUAAAAAUUUGUCUAAAUUCGGUCCGAAAGAAAAUUGUUAAGCCCAAGCCUGACCCAUAUUAAAUUUUACAACACCAAAAAAGUAUAUUUAAAUAAAAAUAAAAAAUAUAUAUUUAAUAUAUAAUUCGGGCCGGGCAGAACUCUGGCAAAAAAAAUUUUACUCGGGGCUGGUCUGUUUUCUAAACAGACUUCGUUUUUUUGCCAAAAUCUAUAUUUUAGGCAUAUAUUUUUACCCGAAUCUUCCUAUAUUUUGGGGUGAGCCGUCGGGCCAGACUGGGUAGCCGAACCAAUGAUCACCUCUACUUGAGACAACAGGGUUUUGCAGGGAAUUCUUACAGGUUCGUUUCUGGUGACAUAAAAGAGCUCUUCACUAUAAGCAUACAAACAAGAGCCAAAACUAUGCCUCUUAGUGAUGAUAUUGGGCCUUAUGUUGUUCCUUUUCAACAUCAAACCGUCAACCAGUAUGGUAUGUUUUUUUAUUUAAUCUGCAAUUUAUGAUAAUUCUUUGUUAUUUAUGUAUGGAAUUUAUUGGGAGGAAAUGCUGGAAAGAAUUCAUUUACAAGAAUUGGUCCAAGAUCAAGGGUGAACAUUACGGACCCUGAAAAAUAAGAGAAAUACUUAACAAAUUUAAUGACUUCCAGAAGGUACGUACCAAUCCACUGCUUAAUUUGCUUGUAAGCGGCCUCGUUAACCUCGAAGGAGACCGAUGGAGCAAGCAUAGAAAAAUCAUAACCCUUGCAUUUCAUCAAGAUAAGUUGAAGGUAUAGAAUAGUAAUGGGUACUCAAGACUUUAAAGAAAACAUCAUACUUAAGCCUAUGCUUUUCUGAUUUAGACAUAAUUGGAUGCAGAAUAUGUUGCCAGCAUUUUAUCAAAGUUGUAGUGACAUGUUUAAGCAAAUGGGAGAAGAUGGUGUGUACAGAAGGAUACAUUGAGUUAGAUGUGUGGCCUUAUCUCGUAGAUUUGACAAGAGAUGUGAUUUCCCGAUCUGCUUUUGGAAGCAGCUUCGAAGAAGGCAAACGAAUUUUCCAAUUACUAGAGGACCAACUCGUUGUUACAAUCAAAUUAAUACAAACUGUUUACAUUCCAGGAUGGAGGUAACCGUCUACUUAAUUUACUUGAAAAAGGUUGCAAAUGUUGGAAUUGGCUAAAUUCGUGUUUGUUUUCUUGAAGGUUUUUGCCCACAAAGACAAACAGGGAGGUGAAGAUGAAACACAAAGACAUAAAAGAGUCGCUCAGGGAAAUGAUAAAAAGAAGAGAGCAGGCAAUUAAAGCAGGGGAAGAGAGUAAUGAGGACUUGUUGGACAUACUUGUGGAAUCCAAUAUCAGAGAAAUGGAAGCAAAGAAUAUGGGGAUGAGCAUUGAGGAUGUGAUUGAGGAAUGCAAGCUGUUUUACUUUGCUGGCCAGGAGACCACUUCGGUCUUACUCGUGUGGACUAUGGUUUUAUUAGCAAGGUAUCCCGAUUGGCAAAGUAAAGCAAGAGAGGAGGUUUUGCAUGUUUUGGGUGACAGUAAACCUGAUGCUGAUGGCCUUAAUCGUCUCAAAGUUGUAAGUCCCUAUCAUGUCUCUUGAAGGCCCGAUCUCUGAGGUCGACAACUCAAAAACUUGGUUCUUUGUUUCGCUAAUUCUACAGUUAACAAUGAUAUUGUACGAGGUUCUAAGGCUGUACCCACCAGUGAUUGAGCUAGGACGUUCCGUUCCAAAAGAAAUAAAACUGGGAAAUUUGUUGUUACCAGCAGGAACAGACGUUUCGGUUCCAAUCCUGCAGAUCCACCAUGACAAAGAUCUUUGGGGCGACACCGCACGGGAAUUUAAGCCACAGCGGUUCACGGAAGGGGUUUCCUAAGCAACAAAGAGUCAAGUCACGUUUCUGCCAUUCGGAUGGGGUCCUAGGAUCUGCAUUGGCCAAAACUUUGCCAUGAUGGAAGCUAAAAUGGCGAUGGCUAUGAUUCUCCAACGCUUCUGGUUUGAGCUUUCCCCUUCCUAUGCUUACUCUCCUUACAACAUGGCAACUCUUCGUCCACAGCAUGGUGCACAGAUAAUUUUACAUAAACUUGGCUGUAAUUAAAUUGUUAUGUAAGCAAAUCUUUGUGAAAAUAUAGUGUUUUAGUGUAUCGUCAAAGUCUGUCUGUAAUGGUACAAUUCCGAUGCAUGAAUAGUAAAUUUUGAGAUGUUUGGUGAAGUCCGAAAUAAUAUGCAGAAAUUGAGUGUCUAUGGUGGACAUAGUUGAGGGACUAAUGUGGUAAUUAUCAAUCAAAUAAUUCGGUACAAAGACUUAUAUGGAAAUUAAAGCAGGGGGAGUUGAAAAUGACUACUCUGCUUUGGGCAUCAAUUUAGAAAGAUUUAAAGUACAAAUGUGUUAUUAGUUAAGGGAUUUGUUUUAAAGAGGGAAUGACAAUUAAACCUCAUGGUUGAUUUGUGGAAGGGAACCAAUGAUGGGAUGAUUACUCUUAGUGGUGAAAAAAAAACUAUUAAGGUGGUUAUUAUAGUUGUUAUCACCAGCCUAAAAUUUGAAUAGGUUCAGGUCGGAUUAUAUUGAGCAUGCAAGAUUAGUUCACGGACCAAACUUGUAUGAUAAUAGGUAUUCACAAAAAGAUAUCUAUAGUUUCCAACAAAGUCACAUGUGAGAUCGUGCAUUAGAACCGCAUAAACAUGUUUUAUGUUUAGAAUAUGAUAUGUGUCUAUGUGUAUAGAAUCUACCUAAUAUAUCAUAUUAAUGAAUAGUAUCAAUUGCGGAGCCAAAAAAUUAUUUGUGAGGGGUCAGAAUUAAAUUGUAUAUUUUUACAAAAAUAAAAAUUAAAUUUCACUAUUUUAAUAGUUUAUUUAUUUUUAAUUUUUAAAUGAUUAAAUUAAAUUUUAUAAAUUUUUAGGAUCAAAGUAUAAUUUUAUCAUUACUAAUUUAAAAUUUUAUAAAUUAUAAAAAGUUUAUAUGAAAAGUUUUCUAUUUUAGGGUGGCCAAAGCCCCUGCCAACUUCUGACUCGAUCACUUGCGGUUAGUUGGGUAAAGACUCAAGAAAAAUAGCGGUGUGUUUGGAUGGACAGUGUGUUUACUUGCGGUUAGUGUAAAAAUAGCAGUGGCGGUGAGAUUAGAUACUAUAGCAACACUGUAGCGUGAGACAAAAAGUAAGUUAAACGCACUGCACUGCACUUAAUCGUCUAUCUAAACUCACCAUAAGUGUCUAAAAUAUGAUUUAAGUGAAGAUACGUGGGGUAGGUGUCAUGGAAAUGUAAAAAAAAAAGAAUCCCACUAAUGUAUGGGAUGUGUACAAUUGAAUGCAGGAGUGAAUCAUUUGGGUAACAUUUGGACAAGAAACAUAAUGAACAAAAUGAAAGGAGAGGAAGCUAGUAAUAAAAGAUUCUUUUGGGUUAUAUAAUUUGUUUGGCAUAUAUUUUUAUAAUAUUUAAAUAUCAUUUUGGAGUUGUUGAAUUAUAAUUUCUUUUUAUGUUUUAAAACAUAGUUAUUCUAUUUUUAGAGGUCAGAGUAGAGGUGAGCAUGAGUCGGGCUACUCGGCUCGGGCCGAAGGCUUGCGCAAAAUGUGAGAGAUUUGGGUAAAAAUAUAGGCCCGAAAAAUGAGUUUAGACAAAAAAAAUAUAAGGCCCGUUGAAAAAACAGGCUAGGCCUUGGGUAAGGCAUUUUGGCCCCAGACCCGGCCCAACCCAAAUUCACUAAGGGCACGUUUGGUUCGCUGUAUUGGAAUAGAGGCGUAAUGUAAUAGAUGCGUAAUGGAAUAGAGACGUAAUAGCAAAUCAAUUGUUUGGUUGAAUGUAAUGGAAUAGAGGCGUAAUAGUAUUCUUAUAUUUGGUUGAAUGGAAUAGAGGUGUAACAGCAUAAGGAAAAAAGUUAAAAUGACUAGAAUACCCUUAGCAGAAAUUUGUUUAGAUAAAUGAUUAUUGUUAUUGUUAUUAAAUUUUAAUAAGAUUAUUAAUAUCAGUAAUAAAUAAUUUAAUCAUAUUUUAACAUAAUUAUUAUUAAAUAUAAUUUAAUAAAAAUAUAUAAUUUAAUAAAAUUCUUAAUAUUAAAUAAAAUUCUUAAUAUUAAAUAUUCUUAAUAUUAAAUUACUAAAAUCAUAAUAUAUAAUACUAUAAAAUAUAAUUUAAAUAAUUAUUAUUAAAUAUAAUUUAAUAAAAAUAUAUAAUUUAAUAAAAUUCUCAAUAUUAAAUAUAUUCUUAUAUGAAUUUACUAAAAUCAUAAUAUAUAAUACUAUAAAAUAUAAUUUAAAAUAAUUAUUAUUAAAUAUAAUUUAAUAAAAAAUAUAUAAUUUAAUCUAAAGUUUGAAUGUGUAUUUACCUAGCAAAAAUCAAUGAACUCUCGUGUAACUAUAACCUUAAUAAUAUAUGAUGUAUAAUUAAUAUUUCGUGACUAAUUAAUAGCAUAGAGAUAAAUACAGUAAUGACGAAUUUAUAGUAUACGAUUAAAAUGCUAAUAAUUUAUAGUAUACAAUUAAAAUAUUAUAAAUAAAAUAAUAGUAAAUGAUAUAUAAGAUAAAUUAACAUAUAAAUAAUUCAGAUAUGUAAAGAAUAUGGCUGAAUAUGGUUGCUCCAAUAAUAAAGGAUAUAUAAUAUAUCAUGGUGUUGUUUUGUUUAGAUAGUUCGGUAACUUAGGAGGGUAUGUAUGAAGAACACAAGUUGAUGCAGAUAGAAAGACGACAAUAUUACAUGAUUACAAUAUGAUAUAGUAUAUAUAUAUAAUUUAUGGAUUCCUUGCAAUCACGUGGCUUCUCUAGCCAUUUUAUUUAGCAUAUCCAGUGAUAUUAAGAUCCAGAAUUAUAAUACAACUAAAAUCUGUGCACACUUAUGGAUGAUCCAACAAAGCCUCAGUUGGCUUUAGGUUCCAAAUCUUGCAACCCACAAACCAUAUUUGCUGGCACUGCAACAUCAAUCAUCUUAGGAUAUGCCAAGUUAAGAUCUGUUGCACCAACAAAAACAGAGGAGAAAUUAGAAGGCGAUCCGAAAAAACCCAAGGAUGCUUUUUCUUUUCUUUUUUUUUAUAAUCUUUAUAGACUAGUUAUAUUGAGCAUCAACUUACUUUCCAUGAUGUUUUUGAAAGUCUCUUACAAAAAGGGUAUUCAACAAAUAAUAUAAUCAGACAUAUUGAUAGGACAAAUUGAAACUAGUAUUCUAUGAUCAUAAUAAAGAGUAAUCUUUAAUCAAAUGCGUGAAGGUAUUGAGAUGUCAUGCUUUUUCAUGAUUUCCUGUUUUACCAUGGCGAUGUUCAUUGGAAUAGUCCCAUCCAAGAGAAUCAAACCAAUGCUCAGCAAGAAAUGUUCAAUGCAUAUGUAAUUUUAAUUACAGAAGUUAUAUGCAGCUUAUAUGAGUUCAAGAUCAUAAAAGACUUCAUGGACAAAAGGAAACCCUUUCUUAUCACUGAAAUGAAAAUAGGCACUCUUAAUUUUCUAUUGUCAAAAGUAGCAAGCCAUUUUCCAAAGAAAAGGGAAGAUGGAUGGUUCCAGAAAGAAUACCUCAUCCUUUGUCAAGUGUGGAUUAUAUAGCAUCUCCUCUCCCACAGUGGUUACCNNNNNNNNNNNNNNNNNNNNNNNNNNNNNNNNNNNNNNNNNNNNNNNNNNNNNNNNNNNNNNNNNNNNNNNNNNNNNNNNNNNNNNNNNNNNNNNNNNNNAAAUCGAGCAAUCAUUUAUAUAUGUAAGAAAUGAUAGGAAUAAAGUUUUAUAUCUUACUGAGAAUCCUUUGUAGUCAUGAGUUGGAUAUAGCAAUGUCUCUUUCGGUAAUGUAAAAAUCUGGAUCCAUGAAACAAAUAAGUCCAUAAAUUUUAUUCAAAUUUUGACAAUUACAAUAAAAUUUUGAGAACUCAAAGAAUGUGACCAUAAAAAGUCCCCUGUCCUUACCUGUGAAUGCACUGACUUGUAGAGUUGCUGUGAACUUCCACCCUGCAAAAUGCAUUAAUCAGUGCUAGUCAAUGGCUACUGAAUGUGGGAGCAUUAGAGAAAAUUAUCUUAAAAACUUAAGUAUAACAAAAUUAGACAAUGACAUCCAGAUGGAAAGAAAUUGCCAGCAUAUAAGACCAGCAUUUAUGUACUCACGACUGAAAAUCCUUUGCAAAAAGUAUAGCCCUGAUAGUUCAAACUUUUACUUCAAGGAUGAUUUAAUUACUGAUUAGUUUACCAUGAGGCUUGUGAAUGACAAACACUUUAUGUGCAACCACAGUAACAAGGUAAGCACCAAUAAGUAGAAAACUAGACGAAUAGGUAACCAAGAGUUAGAGCUAAAACAGACAAACAGAGCUACUAUCCAAUGAGCUAAAACAUACAAACAGAGGUAUAUUUUAACAAUGAAAAUAAUCGAUUGCCUUAAACACCAUAUAGUGUUCCAAUCAAUCAAAUUAUAGCAGGCAUUAAAACCUUUCCCUUUCGUUAAUUCACAACUAUUAGCUUCAUUAAUCAAAUCCUAUGUACAGUUGAUCGAUUGAAAGUGUAACAUUUCAAAGACGAAAUUUAAACACAAAACUGGUUAACAUUGAAAUUACAUGUAAAUAUAACCUAAAAAACCAAAAAAUUAAUCAUAUUUUCAGAUUUCAGGCCGAAAUGGAAUGAAAUGAAAGGUAAAUCCAUUUUUUCCUCAAAAAAACAAAAAUAAAGAAAUAAUAUUUCAAGAACAGAUCAUUAAAUUCAUGGUAUAUAUAAAGAAAUUUAAUUGAAAUCAAAGGAAUAGAAGAAGGGAAAAGCGUACUUGGAACCAUUGCUGCUACUCUCUGUUACUCUGUUACCUCAUACGAUUCGUUAAAGGGUUGUUAGGGUUUGUUAAAGGGUUGGUCAGGAUAGAAGCAUGAAAAGGAGGGAGAAGGUUGGAAGGAAAUGGGAAGAAAAAUGAAAAAAAGAAGAAGAUGCUGCAACGGCUUGGAGGGUAAAAGAGGACCGAUUAGGUAAUCCUUUCUUUUCGAAGGGAUUACAAAUCGGCGCUGCAUAAGGGAAAAUGGGGAAUCGGUGCGCUGCGUAAUAGGCCCGUAUUAAGGCAAUACAGCCAACCAAACAGGGUAAUCAGUGGGGCCACGGAUUAGGGGUGUAUUGGCUAAUCCAAUACACCCAACCAAACAUGCUCUAAAGGACAAAAAAAUUUGAUUUUUUAAAUAUUAUUUUCUCUCUAUUUUGCUAUCAUUUUACUAUUAUGUUGCUACUAUGUUAUUGUUAUUUUUGGAUAUUGUAUAAAACUUAUUUUAUUGUUAAUUUUGUUAUUAUUUUAAAGACAUUUGUUAAUUUUGUUAUUAUUUUAGAGACAUUUGCUUGUUAAGUUGCAUCUAUCUUAGUGUUAUUUAAGUAUACAUAUUUUUUAAAAUUUAUUUUCAAUUUAUUGGGAAAUAUUUAUUUUGAUGUUUUUAGUAUUUUGGGUGUAUUAUAUAUAUUAAAAUUAUAUAAAAAUUAAUAUGGCCGAGCCGAGUCAGGUCCAGAUUUUAGCAUUUUUAUUCAGGUCGGGCUUGAGCAAAAUUUUAAGCCCAUUUUUUGGGCCAAACCAGGCCUGGGCUUAGCAAAUGGGCCUAAAUUUUUAGUCAAGCCCGACCUAAACCCGAUCCGGCCCAUGCUCACCUCUAGAUCAGAGCUGCCCUCGCUUUGCAUUUCUUUGAGAUUCAGUCUUAUCUACUGUUGAUUGCCCACUCAAUUGAGGGUUGAGUAGAAAGAUUUGGUGAAGCAAGCUAAGCUAUCAAUCAAGGUUGGAGAAAGCUUAGGAGGUCACAAUGCAUAAUUAUUUAAAUGUAAUUCUAAUAUUUAAAUAAAAUUUAUUAAUAUAGUAUUAACAAGCCCUAAAUGUAAUGAUUAUAUACUAUUACAUUUUUAAGAAGAGAAAACAUGUUUGAACCUUAAAAACAUCAUUAUUAAAAAUGAUAAUUAAAAAUUUUAAAAUAUAAAAAAUAUAAUUAAAAAUUAAUUUUAAACCCGAGCUGGAUAAAAUUCUAAUUUUAGAUAACGAUACUAAUAAGAAAUCAAUAUUAAAAUGAAAAUGAAAAGUAAUUUAAUAUAAUUUUUGAGUCUUGGGCAAAGGCACUCAAUGAAUGCUUGGAAAGAAAUAAUGCAACUUGGUGAUAGCUUUUGUUGGAGUAAUAUGCUCUUAUUAUAGUUUUAUGUUUUUAUCUUGCAAAAACAACAUAUUGGAGUUUUCGGCAUGAUUUUUUCUUAAUACUUUACAUGAAAAAUAAUAAUGGGACUUAAAAAUCUAUCAAAAGCUUCACCAUAAUAAUAAUAAUAAUAAUAAUAAUAAUAAUAAUAAUAAUAAUAAUAAUAAAUUGCUACAAUAUUACAACACAAAGUUACAAUAAGAGCUUAUAACUCAACAAAGGCUAUCAAUAAAUAAUCUCAGGCAAGCUAAAGAGAAAUGUUGAGAAUACCACCCGAAUAGUGACUGACUUUAAAAGUUGAAAACCCAAAGCUAUAGUAUCUCAAACUAAAUCAAACCAUAAACAUUAAAAUUUUCAAGUCUACUAGCUACUGUAAAAAAUACAGCUCCAACAGACACCAAAUGAGUCUUUGAUCGAAGAAAGUACAAAAACUAGUCUGGGUAAACCAAGCUGCCAAACUUACUUAUCUUAUCUUUAAUUUUGCAGUGAAAUUAAAAACUAAGUUUUUGUUUAUUUCACUUGGAACAACUUUCAAAAAAUUAUUUUUGAAAAAUGGAUUGGUUUUUCGAAAUAAAUGAUAUUUUAUUGUGUUAAAAUUUUAUUCGUUGUUGGAAAACUUUUUUUAAAUCAUUUUCUUAAAGUUAUUUUUAGUGAAACAAACAUAACAUAAAUAUAUUUGUUACAAAAAAUUAUACUAGUAAUUUCUUUUGACAAUUAAAAUUUAUUUUAUGGUAAGACAAUAUUUUAUAAUAAUUAAUAUCAUAUAUAUACGUAAUAAAAAUCAUGUUUAAUUAAAAUUUAAUUAAAAUUAGAUGUAUUAAUAAAGCUACUCCUCCACAACCCGCAUCCGCAACAGCACCAGCACCAGCACCAGCACCAGCAUCAGCACCAUGGGACAACUAUUGGGUUUCCUCCACCUGCCUCUAUCGCUCCUCCUCAGUAUUACCCCUAAGCCUACCAGACCGUGCCGGGUAUUCUACAAAUAUGAAAAAACCUUCUUCUCUUUUUAUUAGCUUAUCGAAAUGAAGGAUUUUGAGAUUUGGGCUUUUGUUAGAUGGAUGGUUAAUGAUAUUUUUUAGAUGAAAGAUACAAGUUUUUUAAUGUUUUAGAAGAAAAGGUGUUUAAAUAUUAGGAGUUUUUUAGCAGAGAAAGAAGAUAAAUAAAUGCAUAGAGAUACAUUAGCAAUAUUAUUUGGAUUUGGUUGUCUAAUGUAAUGAAGAAUUUUUUAAGGGUGACCUGAGUAGGUGUGGCAAGAUUCAAAGUUUUUUCUAUUAUAGCAGAUAUAUAUAUAUUAAUGGUUUAAGAAGACUAGAAGUCGGUUUCAAAGGAAGAUGAGAAAUAAAAGCAUUUAUAUAUAUGAUAUGUCAUUAAUUCAUAAACCAAAUAUAUAAAGUAUGUAAAAGUGUCAGGGGUUAAUCAUGGUGUUUUGACAAUCCGGUAACCUUCAACUUGAAGAAAACCUUAGGUUUCAAAAAUUUAUGUGAAGAGUUAGAAUGGUAUGCUUCAUGGAUCUGAAUAACUAGAACAGUGUAAGAGUGGUAUAUUGUGUCAAGUUUGGUUUCUUGUAUAUAAUUGUAUCGAAAACAAUGUUACAUGAGUUAAAAUGAAUGUUCAUCCAAUUUAACAAAGCCUGCAUUAUGUUGAUCAAAAUUUUUAAUUCAUGUUGAGGUUUCUUCCGUGAUAUCUUUGAUGUCAAGGUUAUGAUGUUGCUGAAGGGACACCUGUAAGAGAUAAGCUACGGUGCUGUGGCAUUGGAUUCGGAUGGUUCUUGUAAGUGUACAUAGUUUUCUUUGUUUUUAAAGAGUUCUUUACAUAUGAAGUAAAACAAGUAGCGACUUGAUGGAUAUGUCAUUAAGCUUUAACUUAAGCAAAUCAUUUUCCUUCAUCUCUAAUUGCCAUUUCUUUAAAAGAAAAAGAGGAAGUUUUGUAGUUUACAGUUUGGACAAAUGGAAGUUAAUAUAAUGCACUAUUUGGAUGGACUAUGGAGAUAUCCAAUCAUAUUGGAUGAGUUAUAAGAAACCUGUGAGUUCAUAUUGGGUUUACUUUAUAUCAUAAUUAGAUUGUUGAGCUGGCUGUCAGACUUAGAUGGUAUUUCACGUUGCUACAUGUUAAACUAUACCACUUUCACAUUCAUACGUGAAAUGGCUGGGAUUUAGUGCCAUUCUACUUAGCAGCCUCGUGUAAUACACAGGUGAAAUGUUUAUGUCUUCAUGUCACCUUAAAGUUCCCAUUUCCAUGACGGUAUUGUUAAGUAAAGACUGGUACAUACCCCAAAAUACGGAAAUUGUUUUGGAUGUAUACUAUACUUUACCAUGCAUGAUUUUUUACAAGUUUGCAUGGUAUUUUAUCAUUAUAUUGGUCUUUAUUUUCUAUACUCGCAGCUUCCAUUAAUAUAUUUUUAUGAAUUUUAUCAUUAUGCUGGUUUGAAGGUUCAUCAUUGGUUUCUUCAUUGGGGGCCAUCCCUGGUAUAUUGGAUUCUUUGUUUUACUUUGUGCAAGGAUAGACGACAGAGAGAAAGCAGGAUAUAUUGCAUGCACAAUUGCCGUGAGUAUCUUUUCUAUCAUUAUUUUUUUCUUUUCCAAUUUUAUGAAAGCCAUCCUUCCUGCCUUGUAUUGAUCAUCAAUUUAACCAUUGUAUAUAUGUAUCUUAUGUAUUUGUACCAUGCUUUAUCUUCAAUGCAAAUAUAAGUUAAACUACAAAGAUUGGAUUGUUAAAAAAAGUUUAAAAUGUUAAAAAAAUUGAAAAUUUUGAUUUUGUAAGAAUGAUAGAAAACCAAGGCCAGUGCUUGCAUAUGUUAUCUACUACAUGCACAAUCGGGUCGAUGUCUGUAUAUGUUUCAUGUUUAGAAAUCGUGUUCAAUUGGGUUACGAUAUGUACAAUUGAAGUGUCAAUUUAUAAUUUCCUUAUCAAGAUUACACAUUUUUUUGUUAAUAUUCGGAAUCACUCAAUGGUUAUAAACCCUGAUUGGAUACUGUCCACAAAGUCUAGUUGGAACAUCCCUUGUAUUCUUUGUCCUUUCUAAGAACUUUCCUUUCCAUCAUUCUCGCUUCUGUUUUUUUUUUCUUCCCUCUACUUUAAGUCAUUAUCUAACGUAGAUAUCCCUUGUAUUCUUUGUCCUUUCUAUGGCAAUCGAGUCAAUUGAUGGCAAGCCAAAAAAACAAAAAGAACAGCUAUCCUGUCUUACUCGAUUGCCAUCCCUCCUGUUAAACACCAUUAAGAAAAGGAAAAUUUUAGUUAAGCUUUAAAACAGCCAUGUUUUAACGAUGUUGGUGAUGGUGCUUGUGCAGGCCCUUCUUGCUACAAUUACAAUUAUUCUUAGUGCAACAAUUAAAGCUGGUGGGUGAUAAAGCACACCUCUUUUGACUGAGAGAUGUAUAGGUUCCCAAAUAAUAUGUAUAUGCUCCCCCCCCCCUCCCUUUAUUUUAUUUUAUUUCCAGUAAGUUAUUGUUUAUGAUAAUUUGCAACAAAUGUUUUUGUCAUUAUUUUGUUGGUGAAUGAUAAUAAGAUUAAGCUUUACUUUCUUAAGCUCCAAUUCCUUGGACGUUGGUGAUUUUUUUAUUAUAGUUGAGUCCUUGUAUGGUAUUAAUAUAAUUUAUGUCGCUUAAAAUUUAUAACUAAAAAUAUAAAAUUUAAAUUUUACUUCAAUUUAUUUGUAUUUAUAAAUGGUUAAUUCAAACUUAUUUUUUUCCUCAUUAUAUUUUAUAUUUAAAUUAACAUUUAAACUAUUUUUCAUUAGCAAUGUUGUUAAGAAUUAUAUUUUUUAGCACCAACAUCAAACUUACUAAAAUUAAAUUUUUAACUAUUUUAAAAAAAAUAUUUUUAGCUAUUUAUCAUCAUAGAGAAAAAAAGGUGACGUCACCACGCCUCAUGCUUCGACACCACAAACUAGACUCUCAUCACCUGUAUUUAUCAUCGAUUCAAAUUCCAGAACUACCUAAAAAUAUAUCUUCAAACUUCCUCUGGUUAAGUUCAUUGAUAGUCAACUUACUAUUAUUUCUAAAAAAAAAAACAAAUAAAUUGGUUAAUAGUAAUCUCAAUGAUUCAAUUUUAUUCUUACCAAUAUCUGUCCUUUAGAAAGGGGCUUAUAAAAGGGAUAGAGGUGAGUAAACUUGAGCUUCAGCUUUCCACAAACACCUUAAUUUGAAGACACAGUUCUCUCAUACUAAAAAAGACAUGGAAGUUUACCUUGUAAUUAGAGAUUUGGUUUCAUUGCUUGUUGUUGGGUUAUUAAUGAUAUGGGGAUGCAGAACUUUAAACUGGGUAUGGCUGGCCCCAAAAAGGCUCGAAAGCUGCUUGAGACAACAGGGUUUUGCAGGGAAUCCUUACAGGUUCCUUUCUGGUGACAUAAAAGAGCUCUCAACUAUGAGCAGACAAACAAGAGCCAAACCUAUGCCUCUUAGUGAUGAUAUUGGGCCUUAUGUUGUUCCUUUUCAACAUCAAACUGCUAACCAGUAUGGUAUGCUUUUUUUGUUUAAUCUGCAAUUUAUGAUAAUUCUUUGUUAUUUAUGUAUGGAAUUUAUUGGGAGGAAAUGCAGGAAAGAAUUCAUUUACGUGGUUUGGUCCAAGACCAAGGGUGAACAUUACGGACCCUGAAAAAAUAAGAGAAAUACUUAACAAAUUUAAUGACUUCCAGAAGAUACAUACCAAUCCACUGCUUAAUUUGCUUGUAAGCGGCCUUGCUAACCUCGACGGAGACCGAUGGAGCAAGCGUAGAAAAAUCAUAAACCCUGCAUUUCAUCAAGAUAAGUUGAAGGUAUAGAAUAGUGAUGGGUAAUCAGACUUUACAGAAAACAUCAUACUUAAACCUAUGCUUUCCUGAUUUAGAAAUAAUUGGAUGCAGAAUAUGUUGCCAGCAUUUUAUCAAAGUUGUAGUGACAUGUUAAGCAAAUGGGAGAAGAUGGUGUGUACAAAAGGAUACAGUGAGUUAGAUGUGUGGCCUUAUCUCGUAGAUUUGACAAGAGAUGUGAUUUCCCGAUCUGCUUUUGGAAGCAGCUUCGAAGAAGGCAAACGAAUUUUCCAAUUACUAGAGGACCAACUCGUUCACAUAAUCAAAUUAAUACAAACUGUUUACAUUCCAGGAUGGAGGUAACCCUCAACUUAAUUUACUUGAAAAAGGUUGCAAAUGUUGGAAUUGGCUAAAUUCGUGUUUGUUUUCUUGAAGGUUUUCGCCAACGAAGACAAACAGGGAGAUGAAGAUGAAACACAGGGACAUAAAAGAGUUGCUUAUGGAAAUGAUAAAGAGAAGGGAGAAGGCAAUUAAAGCAGGGGAAGAGAGCAAUGAGGACUUGUUGGACAUACUUGUGGAAUCCAAUAUCAGAGAAAUGGAAGCAAAGAAUAUGGGGAUGAGCAUUGAGGAUGUGAUUGAGGAAUGCAAGCUGUUUUACUUAGCUGGCCAAGAGACCACUUCGGUCUUACUGGUGUGGACUAUGGUUUUAUUAGCAAGGUAUCCCGAUUGGCAAAGUAAAGCAAGAGAGGAGGUUUUGCAUGUUUUGGGUGACAGUAAACCUGACGCUGAUGGCCUUAAUCGUCUCAAAGUUGUAAGUCCCUAGCAUGUCUUUUGAAGGUCCGAUCAAUGAGGUCGACAACUCAAAAACUUUGUUUCUUUUUUCGCUAAUUCUACAGGUAACAAUGAUAUUGUACGAGGUUCUAAGGCUGUACCCACCGGUGGUUGAGCUAGAACGUUCCGUUCCAAAAGAAAUAAAACUGGGGAAUUUGUUGUUACCAGUAGGAACAGAAGUUUCGGUUCCGAUCCUGCUGAUCCACCAUGACAAAGAUCUUUGGGGCGAUGACGCACGGGAAUUUAAGCCAGAGCGGUUCGCGGAAGGGGUUUCCAAAGCAACAAAGAGUCAAGUCACGUUUCUGCCAUUCGGAUGGGGUCCUAGGAUCUGUAUUGGCCAAAAUUUUGCUAUGAUGGAAGCCAAAAUGGCGAUGGCUAUGAUUCUCCAACGCUUCUGGUUCGAGCUUUCCCCUUCCUAUGCUCACUCUCCUUACGGCAGGGCAACUCUUCGUCCACAGCAUGGUGCACAGAUAAUUUUACAUAAACUUGGCUGUAAUUGAAUUGUUAUGUAAACAAAUCUUUGUGAAAACAUAGCGUUUUAGUUUAUCGUCAAAGUCCGGUGUCUGUAAUGGUACAAAUUCGAUGCAUGAAUAGUAAAGUUUGAGAUGUUUGGUGAAGUCCGAAAUAAUAUGCAGAAAUUGAGUGUGGUAAUUAUCAAUCAAAUAAUUCGGUACAAAGACUUAUAUGGAAAUUAAAGCAGGGGGAGUUGAAAAUGACUACUCUGCUUUGGGCAUCAAUUUAGAAAGAUUUAAAGUACAAAUGUGUUAUUAGUUAAGGGAUUUGUUUUAAAGAGGGAAUGACAAUUAAACCUCAUGGUUGAUUUGUGGAAGGGAACCGAUGAUGGGAUGAUUAUUCUUAGUGGUAAAAAAAACUAUUGUGGAGGUUAUUAUACUUGUUAUCAUCGGCUUAAAAUUCGAAUGGGUUCAAGUCGGAUUAUAUCGAGCUUGUAAGAUGAGUUCACGGAUCAAGUUUGCAUAAUAAAAAUACUUAAAUGAAAAAAUUUCUAUUUUAGAGGGACCAGAGCCCCUACCAACUCCCGGCUCAGCUACUAAACAAUACCCAUAUCAUAUAAAUAAAUACCACAUAAAAAAAACUCAAAGAAAAACACUGACAAAUGAUAAAUAGAUAGAUGUUGGAUAAGUGUCCAAAAUAUGAUUUAAGUGAAGAUACAUGGGGUAGGUGUCACGGAAAUGUGAAUACAAGAAUACUACUAAUGGGAUGUGUACAGUUGAAUGUAGGGAGCAAAAAGAGGAGUGAAUCAUUUUGGUAACAUUGGGACAAGAAACAUAAUGAACAAAAUGGAAGCAGAGGAAGCUAGUAAAAGAAAUUUUUUGGGUCAUAUAAUUUGUUUGGCAUAUAUUUUUAUAAUUUUUAAAUAUCAUUUUGGACUUGAAUUAUAAUUUUUUUAUAUAUUAUCUUAAAAUUGUAUAAAUUUUAAGGAGUUAAAACAAAAUUAUUCUAUUUUUAGAUGGUUAAAGUAGAGAUGAUAAUGGGUUGAGCUAUUCGGCCCAGCCUGACGAUCCACCCGAAAAAUAGGAAGGUUUGGGUAAAAAUAUAGGCUCGAAAUAUGAAUUUGAGCAAAAAAAGAGGCCCGUUUAGAAAAUAGGCCGGGCCUCAGGUAAAACCUUUUGGGCCCAGACCUGACCUAAAUUAUAUAUUAAAUAUAUAUAUUUUUAUUUUUAAUCAAAUAUACUUUUGUUUUAUUAUUAAUUUGGUUAUUAUUUUAGUUCUAAUUUGUUUCAAUUUUAAUAUAACUACUUUUUAUUAUAUUUUCAAUUUGUGUAUUGUUUUAAGAAUUAUUUUAGUCUCAUUAUUUAUUUAUUUUUUAUUUUAAUAUUUGUUUUAAAAUUUUUUAUUUAUUGAAAUAAGCUAAAAAAAUUAAUAUGGGUUGGACCAGACCGGGCUCGGGCCUAGUAAUUUUCUUUUGGGCCGGACUUAAACAAAUUUUUAAGCCCAUAUUUUGAAUUGGGUCCUACACUAGAAAAUGGACCUAAAAUUUUGUAUUACCUUUAGGUCAGAGCUAUCCUCGUUUUGCAUUUCUUUGAGAUUCAGCCUUAUUUACUUUUGAUUGCCACUCAAUAGAGGGUUGAGUAGAAAUAUUUGGUGAAGCAAGCUAAGCUAUCAAUCAAGGUGUGCAUAAUUAUUUAAAUGUAAUUCUAAUAUUAAAAUAAAAUUUUUAUUAAUAUAGUAUCAACAAGCAUUAAAUGUAAUCAUCAUAUACUAUUAAAUUUUCAAUAAGAGAAAACAUGCUUGAACUUUAAAAACGAUGUUACUAAAAACAUUAUCACAAAUCUUGAAAUAUAAAAAAUAUUUUUUAAUAUAAUAAAAAAUAAUUUUAAACCCGAGAUGAAUAAAAUUCUAAUUUUAAUUAAUGAUACCAACAACAAAUCAAUAUUUAAAUUAAAAUUUAUCUUAAUUUAAUAUAAUAAAAUUGGACCUGAAUAUUGAAUUUUUGAGUCUUGGGCAAAGUAGAGGUGCUCAUGGGCCGGGCUGGGUCGGGUUUGGGAAAAAUUUCGGCCCGCAUCCUAGGCUCGGGCUCGGCCCGACCCAAAUAUGGGCCUAAAAUUUUGUCUAGGCCUAGCCCGACCCGGCCCGACUUAUUUUUUUUAAUAAACACCAACAAUUUAUUUUGAAAAUAAAAAAAUAAAAAAAGUAUUUUAAAAAUAUUUUAAAAUUUUUAAAAAAUAUAUAUAUUUAUUAUAUAUUCGGGCCGGGCCAGGCCCGAGCCAAAAAAGUGGCGCCCAAGGCCCGGCCUGUUUUCUAAACGGGACUCAUUUUUUACCCAAACCCAUAUUUCGGGCCUAUAUUUCUACCCGAAUCUCUCAUAUUUCGGGCGAACCGUCGGGCCAGACCGGGCCGCCCGGCCAUGAACACCUCUAGGACAAAGUCACUCAAUGAAUGCAUGGAAAGAAAUAAUGCAACUUGGUGAUAGCUUUUGUUGGAGUUAUAUGCUUUUUUUUUACGUAGUGGAACUUUCGGUGGAUUUUCAAGUUUCAUGAACUUUAUACCCUAUGCUUUACGUGAAAAAAAAUCAUUGGACUUAAAAGUCUGCCAAAAGUUUCACUAUAAUAAAUAAAUAAAUAACAUUGCUACAAGACUUCAACAUAAAGUUACAAUAAGAGCUUAUAACUCAACAAAGGCUAUCAAUAAAUAAUCUCAAACAAAUUAAAGAGAAAUGUUGAGAGUACCACUCGAAUAGUGAUUAACUUUAAAAAUUGAAAACCCAAAGUUAUAAUAUCCCAAACGAAAUCAAACCAUAAACAUUAAAUUUUUCGAGUCUACUAGAUACUGCAAAAAAUUCAGCUCCAACAGACACCAAAUGAACCUAUGAUCGAAGAAAAUACGAAAAUUAGUCUAGCUAAAUCAAGCUGCCAAACUUACUUUUUAUCUUAUCUUUAAUUUGCUGUGAAAUUCAAAACUAAGGUUUUGUACUUAGAACAACUUUCAAAAAGUUAAUUUUGAAAAAUGGAUUGAAUUUUCAAAAUAGAUGAUAUUUUAUUGUGUUAAAAUUUUAUUCGUUGUUUGAAAAAAAAUUUAAAUCAUUUUCUUAGAAUUAUUUUUAGUGAAACAAACAUAUCAUAAAUAUAUUUGUUAUAAAAUAUUUAUAUUAAUAUUUUCUUUUAACAAUUAAAAUAUAUUUUGUGAUAAGGUAUAUUUUAUAAUAAUUAAUAUCAUAUAUACUUAAUAAUAAAUCAUGUCUAAUUAAAAUUUAAUUUCAAUUAAAUAUAUUAAUAAAGCUACAUAUAAUCAUAUUUUAUAUAAUAAAAAUAUUAAUAUAAAUAUUUUUUUAAUAAUAUAUUAAAGAAUAUUUAAAAUUUAAAUUUAUUAUUACUAAGAUUAAUUAUUAAAAUAAAAAUGUAAUAUUAAAUAAUUUAUCCAAUGAUAAGUUAUAUUAAUAAUUUAUUAUAUUAUUAAAUAUAAAUAAUUAAAUAUGUAUGUUUAAUAAUAUUAUGUUAUAAUAUUUAUUAUUAAUAUUUUAAUAUUUUUAAACAACCAUGUUUUAAAGAUGGUGGUGAUGCUGAUGGUGCAGGCCCCCUUGUUACAAUUACAAUAUUUUUAAGUGGGAUGCAUGUAAUAUAUUGUUAGGGUUCUAGAGUGUGUCAUCUUUAAAAGGGUUAAAUUAUAUAUUUAUAUAAUAUGAUUAUUGUUUAUAAACAUAAUAUUGUAGAUAAACUUUUAUGCAUGUCAAUAUGUAUCCUACUCUGGGGUUAAUAUGUAUUUUUAGAUAUGGAUUCACCUAUAUAAUAGUAUGAAUCCAUCAUGCGGUCUCAUGAAAUAUACAAACACAUAUCGUGCGAACACAAAGUACGAACAAUAAAAAGUACAAAUCAAGACCAAUUGAGUAAUUGAAUAACAGAUAGGUAAUAAUGACUAUCCCCUCUUGUUUGAAUUUAUUUUAUUUCCAGUGAGUUAUCGUUUAUGAUAAAUUUACAACAAAUGUUUUUAUCAUUAUUUUGUUGGUAAAUGAUAAUAAGAUUAAACUUUACUUUCUUAAGCUCCUUCAAUUCUUUGGACGUUAGCAAGUAAACUUGAGCUUCAGCAUUCCACAAACACCUUAAUUUGAAGACACAGUUCUCCCAUACUAAAAACAACAUGGACGUUUACCUUGUAAUUAAUGAUACGGGGAUGGAGAGCUUUAAACUGGGUAUGGCUGGCCCCAAAGAGGCUCGAAACGUGCUUGAGACUAGAGGUCCAGGCAAAUUUUUAGGCCCAUUUUUUAGGCUUGGACUGGGCCCGACUCGAAAUAUGAGCUUAAAAAUUUGUCUAAGUUCGGUCCAAAAGAAAAUUGUUAAGCCUAAGCCUGGCCCAUAUUAAAUUUUACAACACCAAAAAACUAUAUAUUUAAUAUAUAUAUUUGAUUAAAAAGUAUAUUUAAUUAAAAAUAAAAAUAUAUAUUUAAUAUAUAAUUCGGGCCGGGCCGAACUCGGGCCAAAAAAGUUUUACUCGGGGCUGGUCCGUUUUCUAAACAGACCUCGUUUCUUUGUCAAAAUCCAUAUUUUAGGCUUAUAUUUUUACCCGAAACUUCCUAUUUUUCGGGUGAGCCGUCAGGCCGGACUGGGUAGCCCAACCAAUGAUCACCUCUACUUGAGACAACAGGGUUUUGCAGGGAAUUCUUACAGGUUCGUUUCUGGCGACAUAAAAGAGCUCUUCACUAUAAGCAUACAAACAAGAGCCAAACCUAUGCCUCUUAGUGAUGAUAUUGGGCCUUAUGUUGUUCCUUUUCAACAUCAAACCGUCAACCAGUAUGGUAUGUUUUUUAAUUUAAUCUACAAUUUAUGAUAAUUCUUUGCUAUUUAUGUAUGGAAUUUAUUGGGAGGAAAUGCUGGGAAGAAUUCAUUUACGUGGAUUGGUCCAAGAUCAAGGGUGAACAUUACGGACCCUGAAAAAUAAGAGAAAUACUUAACAAAUUUAAUGAGAUCCAGAAGGUACGUACCAAUCCACUGCUUAAUUUGCUUGUAAGCGGCCUUGUUAACCUCGAAGGAGACCGAUGGAGCAAGCAUAGAAAAAUCAUAACCCUUCAUUUCAUCAAGAUAAGUUGAAGGUAUAGAAUAGUGAUGGGUACUUAAGACUUAAUUUACAGAAAACAUCAUACUUAAAUCUAUGCUUUUCUGAUUUAGAAAUGAUUGGAUGCAGAAUAUGUUGCCAGCAUUUUAUCAAAGUUGUUGUGACAUGUUAAGCAAAUGGGAGAAGAUGGUGUGUACAGAAGGAUACAGUGAGUUAGAUGUGUGGCCUUAUCUUGUAGAUUUGACAAGAGAUGUGAUUUCCCGAUCUGCUUUUGGAAGCAGCUUCGAAGAAGGCAGACGAAUUUUCCAAUUACUAGAGGACCAACUCGUUCUCACAAUCAAAUUAAUACAAACUGUUUACAUUCCAGGAUGGAGGUAACCCUCAACUUAAUUUACUUGAAAAAGGUUGCAAAUGUUGGAAUUCGCUAAAUUCGUGUUUGUUUUCUUGAAGGUUUUUGCCAACAAAGACAAACAGGGAGAUGAAGAUGAAACACAGACAUAAAAGAGUCGCUUAGGGAAAUGAUAAAGAGAAGGGAGAAGGCAAUUAAAGCAGGGGAAGAGAGCAAUGAGGACUUGUUGGACAUACUUGUGGAAUCCAAUAUCAGAGAAAUGGAAGCAAAGAAUAUGGGGAUGAGCAUUGAGGAUGUGAUUGAGGAAUGCAAGCUGUUUUACUUUGCUGACCAAAAGACCACUUCGGUCUUGCUGGUGUGGACUAUGGUUUUAUUAGCAAGGUAUCCCGAUUGGCAAAGUAAAGCAAGAGAGGAGGUUUUGCAUGUUUUGGGUGACAGUAAACCUGAUGCUGAUGGCCUUAAUCGUCUCAAAGUUGUAAGUCCCUAGCAUGUCUCUUGAAGGCCCGAUCUCUGAGGUCGACAACUCAAAAACUUGGUUUCUUUGUUUCGCUAAUUCUACAGUUAACAAUGAUAUUGUACGAGGUUCUAAGGCUGUACCCACCAGUGAUUGAGCUAGGACGUUCCGUUCCAAAAGAAAUAAAACUGGGAAAUUUGUUGUUACCAGCAGGAACAGACGUUUCGGUUCCAAUCCUGCAGAUCCACCAUGACAAAGAUCUUUGAGGCGACGACGCACGGGAAUUUAAGCCACAGCGGUUCACGGAAGGGGUUUCCUAAGCAACAAAGAGUCAAGUCACGUUUCUGCCAUUCGGAUGGGGUCCUAGGAUCUGCAUUGGCCAAAACUUUGCCAUGAUGGGAACCAAAAUGACGAUGGCUAUGAUUCUCCAACGCUUCUGGUUCGAGCUUUCCUCUUCCUAUGCUUACUCUCCUUACAACAUGGCAACUCUUCGUCCACAGCAUGGUGCACAGAUAAUUUUACAAAAACUUGGCUGUAAUUGAAUUGUUAUGUAAACAAAUCUUUGUGAAAAUAUAGUGUUUUAGUGUAUCGUCAAAGUCUGCCUGUAAUGGUACAAUUCCGAUGCAUGAAUAGUAAAUCUUGAGAUGUUUGGUGAAGUCCGAAAUAAUAUGCAGAAAUUGAGUGUCUUGAAUGGAUGUAGUAUUUAAUGGUGGACAUAGUUGAGGGACUAAUGUGGUAAUUAUCAAACAAAUAAUUGCAUAUGGUACAAAGACUUGUAUGGAAAUUAGAGCAGGGCGAGUUGAAAAUUACUACUUUGCUUCGGGCAUCAAUUUAGAAAGAUUUAAAGUACAAAUGUAUUAUUAGUUUAAGGGAUUUGUUUUAAAGAAGGAAUGACAAUUAAACCUCAUGGUUGAUGUGUGGAAGGGAACCAAUGAUGGGAUGAUUACUCCUAGUGGUAAAAAAAAAAACUAUUAAGGUGGUUAUUAUAGUUGUUAUCACCGGCCCAAAAUUAGAAUAGGUUCAGGUCGGAUUAUAUUGAGCUUGUAGAUGAGUUUGCAUGAUAAUAGGUGUUCACAGAAAGAUAUCUAUAGUUUCCUACAAAGUCACAUGUGAGAUCGUGCAUUGGGACCGCAUAAAAAUGUUUUAUGUUUAGAAUAUGAUACGUGUCUAUGUGUAUGGAAUCUACCUAAUAUAUCAUAUUAAUUAAUAGUAUCAAUUGCGGAGCCAAAAAAUUAUUUCUGAGGGGUCAGAAUUAAAUUGUAUAUUUUUACAAAAAUAAAAAUUAAAUUUCACUAUUUUAAUAGUUUAUUUCUUUUUAAUUUUUAAAUGAUUAAAUUAAAUUUUUAUAAAUUUUUGGGAUCAAAGUACAAUUUUAUCAUUUCUAAUUUAAAAUUUUAUAAAAUAUAAAAAGUUUAUAUGAAAAGUUUUCUAUUUUAGAGUGGCCAAAGCCCCUGCCAACUUCCGACUCGAUCACUAAACAAUAUAAAUAAAUAAAUACCACCAUCUAAAAGACUCAAGAAAAACACUCAACGAUAAAUAGAUAGAUGUUGGGUAAAGAUACGUUUGGAUGGGCGGUGCGUUUACUUGCGGUUAGUAUAAAAAUAGCGGUGGCGGUUAGAUUAGAUACUAUAGCAACACUGUAGCGUAAGACAAAAAAUAAGCUAAACGCACUGCACUGCACUUAAUCGCCCAUCCAAACUCACCCUAAGUGUCCAAAAUAUGAUUUAAGUGAAGAUACGUAGGGUAGGUGUCAUGGAAAUGUAAAAGACAAGAAUCCCACUAAUGUAUGGGAUGUGUACAGCUGAAUGUAGGGAGCAAAGAGGAGUGAAUCAUUUUGGUAACAUUUGGACAAGAAACAUAAUGAACAAAAUGAAAGGAGAGGAAGCUAGUAAAAGAUUUUUUUGGGUUAUAUAAUUUGUUUGGCAUAUAUUUUUAUAAUUUUUAAAUAUCAUUUUGGAGUUGAAUUAUAAUUUCUUUUUAUGUUUUAAAACAUAAUUAUUCUAUCUUCAAAGGGUUAGAGUAGAGGUGAGCAUGGGUCGGGCUACUCGGCCCGAAAUGUGAGAGAUUUGGGCAAAAAUAUAGGCUCAAAAAAUGGACUUGGACAAAAAAAUAUAAGGCCCGUUGAAAAAUGGGCCGGGCAUUGGGUAAGGCAUUUUUGGCCCCGGGCCCGGCCCAAUCCUAAUUCACUAAAGGACAAAAAAAAUCUGAUUUUUAAAUAUUAUUUUCUCCCUAUUUUGCUACCAUUUUACUAUUAUGUUGCUACUAUUUUGUUGUUAUUUUUUGGAUAUUGUAUAAAACUUAUUUUAUUGUUAAUUUUGUUAUUAUUUUAAAGACAUUUGUUAAUUUUGUUAUUAUUUUAGAGACAUUUGCUUGUUAAGUUGCAUCUAUCUUAGUGUUAUUUAAGUAUACAUAUUUUUUAAAAUUUAUUUUCAAUUUAUUGGGAAAUAUUUAUUUUGAUGUUUUUAGUAUUUUGGAUGUAUUAUAUAUAUUAAAAUUAUAUAAAAAUUAAUAUGGCCGAGCCGAGUCAGGCCCAGAUUUUAGCAUUUUUAUUCAAGUCGGGCUUGAGCAAAAUUUUAAGCCCAUUUUUUGGGCCAAACCAGGCCUGGGCUUAGCAAAUGGGCCUAAAUUUUUAGUCAAGCCCGACCUAAACCCGAUCCGGCCCAUACUCACCUCUAGAUCAGAGCUGCCCUCGCUUUUCAUUUCUUUGAGAUUCAGUCUUAUCUACUGUUGAUUGCCCACUCAAUUGAGGGUUGAGUAGAAAGAUUUGGUGAAGCAAGCUAAGCUAUCAAUCAAGGUUGGAGAAAGCUUAGGAGGUCACAAUGCAUAAUUAUUUAAAUGUAAUUCUAAUAUUUAAAUAAAAUUUAUUAAUAUAGUAUUAACAAGCCCUAAAUGUAAUGAUUAUAUACUAUUACAUUUUUAAGAAGAGAAAACAUGUUUGAACCUUAAAAACAUCAUUAUUAAAAAUGAUAAUUAAAAAUUUUAAAAUAUAAAAAAUAUAAUUAAAAAUUAAUUUUAAACCCGAGCUGGAUAAAAUUCUAAUUUUAGAUAACGAUACUAAUAAGAAAUCAAUAUUAAAAUGAAAAUGAAAAGUAAUUUAAUAUAAUUUUUGAGUCUUGGGCAAAGGCACUCAAUGAAUGCUUGGAAAGAAAUAAUGCAACUUGGUGAUAGCUUUUGUUGGAGUAAUAUGCUCUUAUUAUAGUUUUAUGUUUUUAUCUUGCAAAAACAACAUAUUGGAGUUUUCGGCAUGAUUUUUUCUUAAUACUUUACAUGAAAAAUAAUAAUGGGACUUAAAAAUCUAUCAAAAGCUUCACCAUAAUAAUAAUAAUAAUAAUAAUAAUAAUAAUAAUAAUAAUAAUAAUAAUAAAUUGCUACAAUAUUACAACACGUUACAAUAAGAGCUUAUAACUCAACAAAGGCUAUCAAUAAAUAAUCUCAGGCAAGCUAAAGAGAAAUGUUGAGAAUACCACCCGAAUAGUGACUGACUUUAAAAGUUGAAAACCCGAAGCUAUAGUAUCUCAAACGAAAUCAAACCAUAAACAUUAAAAUUUUCAAGUCUACUAGCUACUGUAAAAAAUGCAGCUCCAACAGACACCAAAUGAGUCUUUGAUCGAAGAAAGUACAAAAACUAGUCUGGGUAAACCAAGCUGCCAAACUUACUUAUCUUAUCUUUAAUUUUGCAGUGAAAUUAAAAACUAAGUUUUUGUUUAUUUCACUUGGAACAACUUUCAAAAAAUUAUUUUUGAAAAAUGGAUUGGUUUUUCGAAAUAGAUGAUAUUUUAUUGUGUUAAAAUUUUAUUCGUUGUUGGAAAACUUUUUUUAAAUCAUUUUCUUAAAGUUAUUUUUAGUGAAACAAACAUAACAUAAAUAUAUUUGUUACAAAAAAAUUAUAUUAGUAUUUUCUUUUGACAAUUAAAAUUUAUUUUAUGAUAAGACAAUAUUUUGUAAUAAUUAAUAUCAUAUAUAUACUUAUUAAAAAAAUCUUGUUUAAUUAAAAUUUAAUUAAAAUUAAAUAUAUUAAUAAAGCUACAUAUAAUCAUAUUUUUUAUAAUUAAAAUAUUAAUAUAAAUAUUUUUCAAUAAUAUAUUAAAAUAUUAAAAUUUAAAUUAUUAUUACUUAAAUUAAUUAUUAAAAUAAAAAUUUAAGAUUAAAUAAUUUAUUCAAUGAUAAGUUUUAUUAAUAAUUUAUUGUAUUAUUAAAUAUAAUUAAUUAAAUAUGCAUAUUUAAUAAUAUUACGUUAUAAUAUUUUAAUAUUCUUAAACAGCCAUGUUUUUAAGAUGCUGGUGAUGGUGAUGGUGCGGGCCUCUCUUGUUACAAUUACUAUAAUUUUUUGUGCAAUAAUUGAAGUUGUUGGGUGGUCAAGCAAACCUCUUUUGACUGAGAUGCAUAUAAUAUACCCGCAUGUCCCCGCCUCCUAAAAUUUAAAUUUGCUAUUUGAAUCUUUAAAAUUUUUAAAAAUUUUAAAUUCAUAAAAGUAAAAUUAUACUUUGACCCUCUAAAAUUAUAAAAAUUUAAUUUAAUCUUUUAAAAAUUAUAAAUAUAUAGACUAUAAAAAAUUAAAAUUUCAUUGGGCCCCUAAUAUAUUGUUCAGGCUUCACCCUUGAUACUGAUGUUGACUAUUUUAGAGUAUGUGUCUUCUUUAAUAGGGUUAAAUUAUAUAUUUAUAUAAUAUAGUUAUUGUUUAUGGACGUGACAUCGUAACUAGGUUCUUAUGCAUGUCAACAUAUAUCCUAUUUUAAGGUUAACACGUAUUUUUAAAUAUGAAUUCACCUAUAUAAUGGUAUGAACCAUCAUGCAGUCUCAUAAAAUAUGCGAAUAUAUGUCGUGCGAACACAAAGUACAAACCACACAGAAUACGAAUUAAGACCCAAUUGAAUAAUCGGAUACGAAUCAGUAAUAAUGAAUUUCAUAACAGCCACCAACCCCUCUUUUGUUUUAAUUUAUUUUAUUUCCAGUAAGUUAUUGUUUGUGAUAAUUCACAACAAAUGCUUUUGUCAUUAUUUUGUUGGUAAAUAAUAAUAAGAUUAAACUUUACUUUCUUAAGCUCCUUCAAUUCUUUGGAAGUUGGUGGUUUUUUAUUCUAAUCUUAUUUUUUUUAUUAAUUUCUUUUUUUAUAAUAAAUGUGUUUAUAGAUCAGGUUGGAUUAUAAUUGAAUCAUUGUCUGGUAUUAACAUAAUUUAUAUCGAUUAAAAUUUAUUCGACUGGAAAUAUAAAUUUAAAAUUUUACUUCAAUUUAUCUUAAUUUAUAAAUUGUGAAUUUAAAUUUAUUUAUUUUCUCUCAUUAUAUUCAGUUUUUCGGAUCAUAUUUGGCCCAGAACAAAAACUAGAACAAAAAAACAAAUAUAUAUGUUUUCCAAAAAUUAAAUUGUUAACUUCAAAAAAAUAUAUUUUUAGCUAUUUAUCAUCAUAGAGAAAAACAAAUAAGGUCACCUCGCCUUAUGCUUCAACACCUCAACCUAGAUUCUCAUCACCUGUAUUUAUCAUCGAUUCAGAUUUUUAUUUUUACUAUAUUCUAGAUCUACCUAUAAAUAUAUCUUCAAACUUCCUCUGGUUAAGUUCAUUCAUAGAUAGGUGAGUAAACUUGAGCUUCAGCUUCAACAAACACCUUAGUUUGAAGACACAAUUCUCUCAUACUAAAAAUAUGGAAGUUUACCAUGUAAUUAGAGAUUUGGUCUCAUUGCUUGUUGUUGGUUUAUUAAUGAUAUGGGGAUGGAGAGCUUUAAACUGGGUAUGGUUGGCCCCAAAGAGGCUCGAAAGGUGCUUGAGACAACAGGGUUUUGCAGGGAAUCCUUACAGGUUCCUUUCUGGUGACAUAAAAGAGCUCUCAACUAUGAGCAGACAAACAAGAGCCAAACCUAUGCCUCUUAGUGAUGAUAUUGGGCCUUAUGUUGCUCCUUUUCUUCAUCAAACUGUCAACCAGUAUGGUAUGUUUAAUUAUUAUUUAAUCUUCAAUUUAUGAUAAUUCUUUGUUAUUUAUGAAUGGAAUUUAUUGGGAGGAAAUGCAGGAAAGAAUUCAUUUACGUGGAUUGGUCCAAGACAAAGGGUGAACAUUAUGGACCCUGAAAAAAUAAGAGAAAUAUUUACCAAAUUUAAUGACUUCCAGAAGGUGCGUACCAAUCCACUGCUUACUUUGCUUGUAAGCGGCCUUGUUAACCUCGAAGGAGACCGAUGGAGCAAACAUAGAAAAAUCAUAAACCCUUCAUUUCAUCAAGAUAAGUUGAAGGUAUAGAAUAGUGAUGGGUACUUAAGACUUAAUUUACAGAAAACAUGAUACUUAAAUCUAUGCUUUUCUGAUUUAGAAAUGAUUGGAUGCAGAAUAUGUUGCCAGCAUUUUAUCAAAGUUGUUGUGACAUGUUAAGCAAAUGGGAGAAGAUGGUGUGUACAGAAGGAUACAGUGAGUUAGAUGUGUGGCCUUAUCUUGUAGAUUUGACAAGAGAUGUGAUUUCCCGAUCUGCUUUUGGAAGCAGCUUCGAAGAAGGCAGACGAAUUUUCCAAUUACUAGAUGACCAACUCGUUCUCAGAAUCAAAUUACUACAAACUGUUUACAUUCCAGGAUGGAGGUAACCCUCAAUUUACUUGAAAAAGGUUGCAAAUGUUGGAAUUGGCUAAAUUCGUGUUUGUUUCCUUAAAGGUUUUUGCCCACAAAGACAAACAGGGAGGUGAAGAUGAAACACAAAGACAUAAAAGAGUCGCUCAGGGAAAUGAUAAAAAGAAGAGAGCAGGCAAUUAAAGCAGGGGAAGAGAGCAAUGAGGACUUGUUGGACAUACUUGUGGAAUCCAAUAUCAGAGAAAUGGAAGCAAAGAAAAAGGGGAUGAGCAUUGAGGAUGUGAUUGAGGAAUGCAAGCUGUUUUACUUUGCUGGCCAGGAGACCACUUCGGUCUUGCUGGUGUGGACUAUGGUUUUAUUAGCAAGGUAUCCCGAUUGGCAAAGUAAAGCAAGAGAGGAGGUUUUGCAUGUUUUGGGUGACAGUAAACCUGAUGCUGAUGGCCUUAAUCGCCUCAAAGUUGUAAGUCCCUAGCAUGUCUUUUGAAGGUCCGAUCAAUAAGGUCGACAACUCAAAAAUUUGGUUUCUUUUUUCGCUAAUUCUACAGUUAACAAUGAUAUUGUACGAGGUUCUAAGGCUGUACCCAUCAGCGACUGAGCUAGGACGUUCCGUUCCAAAAGAAAUAAAA